GGGAAGGUCCAUGGUUCAGUGGUUGAGCAGCUACCUUGUAAGCAGAAGCUCCCAGGUUCAAUCCCUGGCAUCUCCCA